GACGAACGCUGGCGGCGUGCCUAAUACAUGCAAGUUGAGCGCUGAAGGUUGGUACUUGUACCAACUGGAUGAGCAGCGAACGGGUGAGUAACGCGUGGGGAAUCUGCCUUUGAGCGGGGGACAACAUUUGGAAACGAAUGCUAAUACCGCAUAAAAACUUUAAACACAAGUUUUAAGUUUGAAAGAUGCAAUUGCAUCACUCAAAGAUGAUCCCGCGUUGUAUUAGCUAGUUGGUGAGGUAAAGGCUCACCAAGGCGAUGAUACAUAGCCGACCUGAGAGGGUGAUCGGCCACAUUGGGACUGCGACACGGCCCAAACUCCUACGGGAGGCAGCAGUAGGGAAUCUUCGGCAAUGGACGAAAGUCUGACCGAGCAACGCCGCGUGAGUGAAGAAGGUUUUCGGAUCGUAAAACUCUGUUGGUAGAGAAGAACGUUGGUGAGAGUGGAAAGCUCAUCAAGUGACGGUAACUACCCAGAAAGGGACGGCUAACUACGUG
rnacentral:rRNA from 1 species